AAGAAGAUGUCGUACUGUAGCAACAGCCACGGUGGUGAUAGAGGUGAGGUUAGGGCAUCAGAUAUACUGGUGAAGCACCAAGGUUCCUCACUACUUUCCUUUUUGUGAAGCUGAUUCUGAUUCGGAGCCCUCUCAGUGACACAUCUCUUCUCACUCUCUCUGGAAUUCCGGCGAAGAUAGAGUUCGAUGGAAGAGGAAGAAGUCUCCGGUGGUGCCGGCGGAGCAAAAGGAGAAGCAUAAGCAGCAUUUGAACCAGACGAAGAAGAUGUCGUACUGCAGCAGCAGCCACGGUGGUGAUGAAGGUGAGAAUACUUCAAAUAGUGCUAGAGGAUGGGAACCAUCUUGAUAAAUUUGGUUGUUAAAGGUGUGUUUUCAUUUACACUGGUAUGUGAUCAAUUGAGAUUUGUGUUGGAACUAUUCCAAAAUUCCAAAGGGCAUUGUGUUUGAAUUUGGAUGGCUUCAUUUGUUAGUUUGUUACCUUUUGGAUUGAUGCUUUUUUUUCCCUUCUGGUUGUGAGUUAAUUGUGUGUUUUGAGAAUCAAUUUUAUGCUUAUUAAUUAUUGAGAUGAAAUACUGGUUUAUGAAUUCAGGGAGUCAAGAAGAGGAUAUAGCAACUAAAGCUGGUGGAUAUAACAGAGUAGUAGAAGAGAAUAGGAAAUUAUUUAACAUGGUUCAAGAUCUGAAAGGUAAUAUUCGAGUUUACUGCAGAAUCAGACCCACAUUCCAGGCUGAAUCCAAGAAUAUUAUUGAUUUCAUUGGGGAGGAUGGUUCUGUAUUCAUUUUAGAUCCAUCCAAAACAUUGAAAGAUGGAAGGAAACUUUUUCAGUUCAAUCGGGUUUUUGGUGCAAAGGCUGGCUAAGGUAGAGUUCCACAUGCUGAUUACAGAAAUUUUCCCUCCCCUUCCCUCUCUUUUACAUCAUUUUAUUGAAAUUUAUUUUAACUUUGUACACAGAUGAGGUUUUUAAGGACA